GGUUAAGUGAAUAAGGGCGCACGGUGGAUGCCUUGGCACUAGGAGCCGAUGAAGGACGGGACUAACACCGAUAUGCUUUGGGGAGCUGUACGUAAGCUAUGAUCCAGAGAUUUCCGAAUGGGGGAACCCAGCAUCUUUAAUAGGAUGUUACGAUUGUGUGAAUACAUAGCACAUUCGAGGUAGACGCAGAGAACUGAAACAUCUAAGUACCUGCAGGAAGAGAAAGAAAAUUCGAUUCCCUGAGUAGCGGCGAGCGAAACGGGAAAAGCCCAAACCAACAAGCUUGCUUGUUGGGGUUGUAGGACUCCAAUAUGGUCGUUCUUUCAGAUAGUCGAAUGACUUGGAAAAGUCAGUCAAAGAGGGUAAAAACCCCGUAGACGAAAUGUGGAAGACACCUAGGAGGAUCCUGAGUACGGCGGAACACGAGAAAUUCCGUCGGAAUCCGGGAGGACCAUCUCCCAAGGCUAAAUACUCCCUAGUGACCGAUAGUGAACCAGUACCGUGAGGGAAAGGUGAAAAGCACCCCGGAAGGGGAGUGAAAUAGAACCUGAAACCGUGUGCCUACAACAAGUCAAAGCCCGUUAAUGGGUGAUGGCGUGCCUUUUGUAGAAUGAACCGGCGAGUUACGAUUGCAUGCGAGGUUAAGUUGAAGAGACGGAGCCGCAGCGAAAGCGAGUCUGAAUAGGGCGUUUGAGUAUGUAGUCGUAGACCCGAAACCAUGUGAUCUACCCAUGUCCAGGUUGAAGGUGCGGUAAAACGCACUGGAGGACCGAACCCACGUACGUUGAAAAGUGCGGGGAUGAGGUGUGGGUAGCGGAGAAAUUCCAAACGAACUUGGAGAUAGCUGGUUCUCUCCGAAAUAGCUUUAGGGCUAGCCUCGGAAUUGAGAAUGAUGGAGGUAGAGCACUGUUUGGACUAGGGGCCCAUCUCGGGUUACCGAAUUCAGAUAAACUCCGAAUGCCAUUCAUUCAUAUCCGGGAGUCAGACUGUGAGUGAUAAGAUCCAUAGUCGAAAGGGAAACAGCCCAGACCACCAGCUAAGGUCCCAAAAUAUAUGUUAAGUGGAAAAGGAUGUGGGGUUGCACAGACAACUAGGAUGUUGGCUUAGAAGCAGCCACCAUUUAAAGAGUGCGUAAUAGCUCACUAGUCGAGUGACCCUGCGCCGAAAAUGUACCGGGGCUAAACAUAUUACCGAAGCUGUGGAGUACACCUUUAGGUGUAUUGGUAGGAGAGCGUUCUAAGGGCGUCGAAGGCAGAUCGUGAGGACUGCUGGAGCGCUUAGAAGUGAGAAUGCCGGUAUGAGUAGCGAAAGACAGGUGAGAAUCCUGUCCACCGAAUGACUAAGGUUUCCUGGGGAAGGCUCGUCCGCCCAGGGUUAGUCGGGACCUAAGCCGAGGCCGAUAGGCGUAGGCGAUGGAUAACAGGUUGAUAUUCCUGUACCCGUUGUUUUUGUUUGAGCAAUGGAGGGACGCAGGAGGCUAAGGAAUGCAGACGAUCGGAAAUGUCUGUCCAAGCAGUAAGUCUGAAGAGGAGUCAAAUGCUUCUUUUCUUAAGGACAAGCUGUGAUGGGGAGGGAAAUAAUAGUACCGAAGUUCCUGAUGUCACACUGCCGAGAAAAGCUUCUAGUGAGAAAACAGCGGCCCGUACCGCAAACCGACACAGGUAGUCGAGGAGAGAAUCCUAAGGUGAGCGAGAGAACUCUCGUUAAGGAACUCGGCAAAAUGACCCCGUAACUUCGGGAGAAGGGGUGCUGAUCAUACGAUCAGCCGCAGUGAAUAGGCCCAAGCGACUGUUUAUCAAAAACACAGGUCUCUGCAAAAUCGUAAGAUGAAGUAUAGGGGCUGACGCCUGCCCGGUGCUGGAAGGUUAAGAGGAGUGCUUAGCGCAAGCGAAGGUACGAAUUGAAGCCCCAGUAAACGGCGGCCGUAACUAUAACGGUCCUAAGGUAGCGAAAUUCCUUGUCGGGUAAGUUCCGACCCGCACGAAAGGCGUAACGAUUUGGGCACUGUCUCAACGAGAGACUCGGUGAAAUUUUAGUACCUGUGAAGAUGCAGGUUACCCGCGACAGGACGGAAAGACCCCAUGGAGCUUUACUGUAGUUUGAUAUUGAGUGUCUGU
rnacentral:rRNA from 1 species